rfam:Felis catus isolate Cinnamon breed Abyssinian chromosome B3, whole genome shotgun sequence.
GCCUGGGUGGCUCAGUCAGUUGAGUGACUGACUUUAGCUCAGGUCAUGAUCUCACGGUUUGUGAGUUCGAGCCCCACAUCAGGCU